rnacentral:sRNA from 1 species
GCUGGGUAUGGUGACACAUACUUGUAAUCCCAGCAACUCAGGAGGCUGAGGCAGAAGAAUUGCAAGUUGGAGACCAGCCUCAGCAAUGUAGUCAGGCCCUAAGCAAUUUUGUAAGAUCUUGUCUCAA